rnacentral:rRNA from 1 species
AGAGUUUGAUCCUGGCUCAGAUUGAACGCUAGCGGGAUGCUUUACACAUGCAAGUCGAACGGCAGCGCGAGAGAAGCUUGCUUUUCUUGGCGGCGAGUGGCGAACGGGUGAGUAAUAUAUCGGAACGUGCCCAGUAGCGGGGGAUAACUACGCGAAAGCGUGGCUAAUACCGCAUACGCCCUACGGGGGAAAGGGGGGGAUCGCAAGACCUCUCACUAUUGGAGCGGCCGAUAUCAGAUUAGCUAGUUGGUGGGGUAAAGGCCUACCAAGGCAACGAUCUGUAGCUGGUUUGAGAGGACGACCAGCCACACUGGGACUGAGACACGGCCCAGACUCCUACGGGAGGCAGCAGUGGGGAAUUUUGGACAAUGGGGGCAACCCUGAUCCAGCCAUCCCGCGUGUGCGAUGAAGGCCUUCGGGUUGUAAAGCACUUUUGGCAGGGAAGAAACGGCGCUGGUUAACACCUGGCGCAACUGACGGUACCUGCAGAAUAAGCACCGGCUAACUACGUGCCAGCCGCCGCGGUAAUAC